CAGGUUGUAAGAAUUAUUUAAGGGCUGCAGGAUAGUUGUGGUGAAAGGGGUUUUCCUGUUCUCUCAACUCAUAUCAAGUGCAGAGUAGUAAACCUGUUGUGACUUGAUACCUUUCAUAACAUGCAAGGAAGAUCAAAGAAAAUAACAUCCCAAGAUACAUCAAUUGAUACAGCGUACCAAACUACUGACUCUAUAAUAAUUUUAGGCGAUUUAAACAUCGAUCUGAUCACUACAAAAAACAGUUACCGUUGAAUAUGUUAGUUAGCUAUAUCUGGUUUGUGAGCUUGGUACUUUUAGUUCCCAUAGUAACAACAUUUUCACUUCCACUUCAUCAUGGUUUUAACCGGAAACGCGAAGUAGGUCAACUCUCGAGUUUUUUGGAAGAAAUGGAUGAGCGAAAUGCAGAAGGAACGGAGACGUUACAUCCACGAGAAGCAGAACGAGAUGAAAGCAUGCCAGAAAGAGCACAGCCUUGUAUAACCAUCCAUUAUCUAAUGGUAUUACAGAAUCAGUUUAAGCACCGUAUAGAUCCCAAUGGUGACGGUAAAGCCACAUUUGACGAAGUUAAAAAUUUCCUCCGUCAUUACCAGCCACAUAUUACAAGCAGAACUGUUAACAAUUUCAUUCAACGAAGAG